rnacentral:rRNA from 1 species
AUGCCGCAGCCGUCCGGCGACAUGGAUGAUGAUGUCAUGCAGGACAUCCCAUCGCUUUGCAAGUCCACCUUGGAGACUUGCCUCGGCCCCUUCCGCCGCCUUCUCAUCGAGCUCAAUGGUGUGGCCUCCACAGGGGACCACCCAGUCGUGACUUGCAUCGUCUCGGACCUCACCAUGUGUUUCGCCAUGGAUGCCGCCAAAGAGUUAGAUGUCCCCUAUGUCCAGCUUUGGACGGCCAGCACCGUUAGCUAUCUCGGAUUCCGUUAUUUCCGUCUCCUCAUUGACCGUGGCAUCGUCCCACUUCAAGAUGAGAAACAGCUUAUGGAUGGAUACCUUGACACCCCACUGGAGGAUCUACCGGGGCUGAGGAACAUGAGGCUUAGGGACUUCCGGAGCUUCAUCAUGAACCCAGAUGACUACAUUGUGGAGUAUGCCAUCAAAGUAACCGAGAGUGCGGCCGGGGCUUCCGCCGUAAUCGUCAACAACUUUGACGACCUCGAGGGCUCCUUGGCAGACCCAAGGUCAACACGAUCGGCCCGCUCACUCUGCUAG